rnacentral:rRNA from 1 species
AGCGCAUACGGUGGAUGCCUUGGCAGUCAGAGGCGAUGAAAGACGUGGUAGCCUGCGAUAAGCUUUGGGGAGUCGGCAAACAGACUGUGAUCCAGAGAUCUCUGAAUGGGGGAACCCACUCAGCAUAAGCUGAGUAUCUUGUACUGAAUACAUAGGUGCAAGAGGCGAACCAGGGGAACUGAAACAUCUAAGUACCCUGAGGAAAAGAAAUCAACCGAGAUUCCCUUAGUAGUGGCGAGCGAACGGGGACCAGCCCUUAAGUUGGUUUGAGAUUAGUGGAACGCUCUGGAAAGUGCGGCCAUAGUGGGUGAUAGCCCCGUACACGAAAAUCUCUUAUCAAUGAAAUCGAGUAGGACGGAGCACGAGAAACUUUGUCUGAACAUGGGGGGACCAUCCUCCAAGGCUAAAUACUACUGACUGACCGAUAGUGAACCAGUACCGUGAGGGAAAGGCGAAAAGAACCCCGGAGAGGGGAGUGAAAUAGAACCUGAAACCGUAUGCGUACAAGCAGUGGGAGCCUACUUUGUUAGGUGACUGCGUACCUUUUGUAUAAUGGGUCAGCGACUUAUAUUCAGUGGCGAGCUUAACCGAAUAGGGGAGGCGUAGCGAAAGCGAGUCUUAAUAGGGCGUUUAGUCGCUGGGUAUAGACCCGAAACCGGGCGAUCUAUCCAUGGGCAGGUUGAAGGUUAGGUAACACUGACUGGAGGACCGAACCGACUACCGUUGAAAAGUUAGCGGAUGACCUGUGGAUCGGAGUGAAAGGCUAAUCAAGCUCGGAGAUAGCUGGUUCUCCUCGAAAGCUAUUUAGGUAGCGCCUCAUGUAUCACUGUAGGGGGUAGAGCACUGUUUCGGCUAGGGGGUCAUCCCGACUUACCAAACCGAUGCAAACUCCGAAUACCUACAAGUGCCGAGCAUGGGAGACACACGGCGGGUGCUAACGUCCGUCGUGAAAAGGGAAACAACCCAGACCGUCAGCUAAGGUCCCAAAGUCAUGGUUAAGUGGGAAACGAUGUGGGAAGGCUUAGACAGCUAGGAGGUUGGCUUAGAAGCAGCCACCCUUUAAAGAAAGCGUAAUAGCUCACUAGUCGAGUCGGCCUGCGCGGAAGAUGUAACGGGGCUCAAACCAUGCACCGAAGCUACGGGUAUCACCUUUAGGUGAUGCGGUAGAGGAGCGUUCUGUAAGCCUGUGAAGGUGAGUUGAGAAGCUUGCUGGAGGUAUCAGAAGUGCGAAUGCUGACAUGAGUAACGACAAUGCGAGUGAAAAACUCGCACGCCGAAAGACCAAGGUUUCCUGCGCAACGUUAAUCGACGCAGGGUUAGUCGGUCCCUAAGGCGAGGCUGAAAAGCGUAGUCGAUGGAAAACAGGUUAAUAUUCCUGUACUUCCAGUUAUUGCGAUGGAGGGACGGAGAAGGCUAGGCCAGCUUGGCGUUGGUUGUCCAAGUUUAAGGUGGUAGGCUGAGAUCUUAGGCAAAUCCGGGAUCUCAAGGCCGAGAGCUGAUGACGAGUGCUCAUUAGAGCGCGAAGUGGUUGAUGCCAUGCUUCCAAGAAAAGCUCCUAAGCUUCAGAUAACUGGGAACCGUACCCCAAACCGACACAGGUGGUUAGGUAGAGAAUACCAAGGCGCUUGAGAGAACUCGGGUGAAGGAACUAGGCAAAAUGGCACCGUAACUUCGGGAGAAGGUGCGCCGGCGAGGGUUAAGGACUUGCUCCGUAAGCCCAUGCCGGUCGAAGAUACCAGGCCGCUGCGACUGUUUAUUAAAAACACAGCACUCUGCAAACACGAAAGUGGACGUAUAGGGUGUGACGCCUGCCCGGUGCCGGAAGGUUAAUUGAUGGGGUUAGCGCAAGCGAAGCUCUUGAUCGAAGCCCCGGUAAACGGCGGCCGUAACUAUAACGGUCCUAAGGUAGCGAAAUUCCUUGUCGGGUAAGUUCCGACCUGCACGAAUGGCGUAACGAUGGCGGCGCUGUCUCCACCCGAGACUCAGUGAAAUUGAAAUCGCUGUGAAGAUGCAGUGUAUCCGCGGCUAGACGGAAAGACCCCGUGAACCUUUACUAUAGCUUUGCACUGGACUUUGAAUUUGCUUGUGUAGGAUAGGUGGGAGGCUUUGAAGUGGGGACGCCAGUUCUCAUGGAGCCAUCCUUGAAAUACCACCCUGGCAACUUUGAGGUUCUAACUCAGGUCCGUUAUCCGGAUCGAGGACAGUGUAUGGUGGGUAGUUUGACUGGGGCGGUCUCCUCCCAAAGAGUAACGGAGGAGUACGAAGGUGCGCUCAGACCGGUCGGAAAUCGGUCGUAGAGUAUAAAGGCAAAAGCGCGCUUGACUGCGAGACAAACACGUCGAGCAGGUACGAAAGUAGGUCUUAGUGAUCCGGUGGUUCUGUAUGGAAGGGCCAUCGCUCAACGGAUAAAAGGUACUCCGGGGAUAACAGGCUGAUACCGCCCAAGAGUUCAUAUCGACGGCGGUGUUUGGCACCUCGAUGUCGGCUCAUCACAUCCUGGGGCUGAAGCCGGUCCCAAGGGUAUGGCUGUUCGCCAUUUAAAGUGGUACGCGAGCUGGGUUUAGAACGUCGUGAGACAGUUCGGUCCCUAUCUGCCGUGGACGUUUGAGAUUUGAGAGGGGCUGCUCCUAGUACGAGAGGACCGGAGUGGACGAACCUCUGGUGUUCCGGUUGUCACGCCAGUGGCAUUGCCGGGUAGCUAUGUUCGGAAGAGAUAACCGCUGAAAGCAUCUAAGCGGGAAACUUGCCUCAAGAUGAGAUCUCACUGGAACCUUGA